rnacentral:sRNA from 1 species
UAGCAAAAUGCAUGUAACUAGGGUACGU